rnacentral:rRNA from 1 species
CCUACGGGGUGCAGCAGUGGGGAAUAUUGGGCAAUGGGCGCAAGCCUGACCCAGCAACGCCGCGUGAAGGAAGAAGGCUUUCGGGUUGUAAACUUCUUUUGUCAGGGACGAAGCAAGUGACGGUACCUGACGAAUAAGCCACGGCUAACUACGUGCCAGCAGCCGCGGUAAUACGUAGGUGGCAAGCGUUAUCCGGAUUUAUUGGGUGUAAAGGGCGUGUAGGCGGGAAUGCAAGUCAGAUGUGAAAACUAUGGGCUCAAUCCAUAGCCUGCAUUUGAAACUGUAUUUCUUGAGUGCUGGAGAGGAAAUCGGAAUUCCGGGUGGAGCGGUGAAAUGCGUAGAUAUACGGAGGAACACCAGUGGCGAAGGCGGAUUGCUGGACAGUAACUGACGCUGAGGCGCGAAAGCGUGGGGAGCAAACAGGAUUAGAUACCCCUGUAGUC